rnacentral:tRNA from 1 species
GGUCCAAUGGUGUAGUGGUUAUCACGUCUGCUUUACACGCAGAAGGUCGGCGGUUCGAGCCCGCCUUGGAUCA